rnacentral:rRNA from 1 species
AGAUUAAGUUAUUAAGGGCGCACGGUGGAUGCCUUGGCACUAGAAGCCGAUGAAGGACGUUACUAACGACGAUAUGCUUUGGGGAGCUGUAAGUAAGCUUUGAUCCAGAGAUUUCCGAAUGGGGAAACCCAGCAUGAGUUAUGUCAUGUUAUCGAUAUGUGAAUACAUAGCAUAUCAGAAGGCACACCCGGAGAACUGAAACAUCUUAGUACCCGGAGGAAG